AGUGAACGCUGGCGGUAGGCCUAACACAUGCAAGUCGAACGGCAGCACAGUAAGAGCUUGCUCUUACGGGUGGCGAGUGGCGGACGGGUGAGGAAUACAUCGGAAUCUACUUUUUCGUGGGGGAUAACGUAGGGAAACUUACGCUAAUACCGCAUACGACCUACGGGUGAAAGCAGGGGAUCUUCGGACCUUGCGCGAUUGAAUGAGCCGAUGUCGGAUUAGCUAGUUGGCGGGGUAAAGGCCCACCAAGGCGACGAUCCGUAGCUGGUCUGAGAGGAUGGUCAGCCACACUGGAACUGAGACACGGUCCAGACUCCUACGGGAGGCAGCAGUGGGGAAUAUUGGACAAUGGGCGCAAGCCUGGUCCAGCCAUACCGCGUGGGUGAAGAAGGCCUUCGGGUUGUAAAGCCCUUUUGUUGGGAAAGAAAAGCGGCAGGUUAAUACCCCGCUGUUCUGACGGUACCCAAAGAAUAAGCACCGGCUAACUUCGUG
rnacentral:rRNA from 1 species